rnacentral:misc_RNA from 1 species
AACGGUCUAUACCUGCGGUACCUGCGGAAGGAUCAUUACAUGGCGGAGGAGGUGGGCACCUAGUAAAACAAAACCCUAGGUGUGUUGCCUACCACGCUUUCUACCCUUGUCUAUUUGCACCUUUUGUCGUUCCCUCGGUGGGUCUUGAACCUGCCGGCGGCAACUUUCAAAAACCUUUUGUAGUUAGUAUCUAAUUCUUCUGAUCAAAUAUUCAAUCGUUACAACUUUUAACAACGGAUC